GAAGAACAUCCUGGUUUGCUCUCUCUCGCCCUGCCUCCCUGCCUGACAGCAUCAUCUUCCUGUUCCUGCUGCUCUUCGUUUUACCACGUGGCCAUAAUCCACACGGUGGACAAAACCAUUGCCAUCAGUCUGGUUUUUUAGACUUUAUCCCCUUUUGGAUCCAAACUUGAAGGUGAGAGAGCAAAAAGCAGAAUGCACAUCCAUUUAUGGUGAACACGGUCCUCAGAAGAUGCUGCAGCCUGGAGAUCAGAGACUUUGGCUGCAGUCCCUGGAACAAGCUGCUAUCAGUCUGGAAGAUCUUCUUCUGAUGCCAGCAGCAGCAUCUGGAUGCCUGGCACAGCUCUUUGAACAGUUGUUUUGGCUUCUAUUGUGGUCAGCAUGCAGCUGGAAUUUUUUUACUCUGCCUGGAUGCUUUUUCUCUUUGGCUCACCUUGUGUUGUUUGGAAUUCAUGUAUUUCCAGCCCAUGGGUGAAACAGGACUCUUUGCACUUACUUCUCAGUACAGGAUCCUUGCCACUCAAAUAGAGAAUCCCCUUCUGUCUGUGUUUGGAUGUGCUUCUUCUAGGAGAAGCACAUUAAAACUUAGUCUCACCCUGAAGCUGUUGCACACUUGCAGAGCAUAUGCUGAGGCUAUGAGUACCAAAGGAGAAGCUUUUGUAGAGGUGGUUGCAAAUUUCAAGAAAUCUAUUUGAUAUCAGAAAAUCAUCAUUUAGCCAUGCACAAAA